CCUACGGGGGGCUGCAGUGGGGAAUAUUGGACAAUGGGGGGAACCCUGAUCCAGCCAUGCCGUGUGUGUGAAGAAGGCCCUCGGGUUGUAAAGCACUUUCAGUGAGGAAGAACGCCUGGUGGUUAAUACCCAUCAGGAAAGACAUCACUCACAGAAGAAGCACCGGCUAACUCCGUGCCAGCAGCCGCGGUAAUACGGAGGGUGCGAGCGUUAAUCGGAAUUACUGGGCGUAAAGCGCGCGUAGGUGGCUUGAUAAGCCGGUUGUGAAAGCCCCGGGCUCAACCUGGGAAAGGCAUCCGGAACUGUCCAGCUAGAGUGCAGGAGAGGAGGGUAGAAUUCCCGGUGUAGCGGUGAAAUGCGUAGAGAUCGGGAGGAAUACCAGUGGCGAAGGCGGCCUUCUGGACUGACACUGACACUGAGGUGCGAAAGCGUGGGUAGCACACAGGAUUAGAUACCCUAGUAGUC
rnacentral:rRNA from 1 species